rnacentral:rRNA from 1 species
GACGAACGCUGGCGGCGUGCCUAAUACAUGCAAGUAGAACGCAGUUGCGAACGGGUGAGUAACGCGUAGGUAACUGCCUGGUAGCGGGUGAUAACUAUUGGAAACGAUAGCUAAUACCUCAUACUACCAGAAGGACCUGCGUUGUAUUAUCUAGUUGGUGAGGUAACGGCUCACCAAGGCAACGAUACAUAGCCGACCUGAGAGGGUGAUCGGCCCCAUUGGGACUGGGACACGGCCCAGAUUCCGACGGGAGGCAGCAGUAGGGGAUCUUCGGCCAUGGGGGGAACCCUGACCGAGCACCGCCGCGUUAGUGAAGAAGGUUUUCGGAUCGUAAAGCUCUGUUGGUAAGGUAGCGGUCCUUACCCCUAAAGGGACGGCUAACUACGUGCCAGCAGCCGCGGUAAUAC